CGAUCGGAAGUGUCCAACGCCCCAAGACACUGCCAGCUGAUAAAGGUUGUGUGAAUGGGUUUCUGUUUUGGCAAUGGCCAAAAUUUUAAUUGCAAAUCGGCAAGGCCCAGCCUUGUCAGCCAGAACCGGGAGAGCCAAGAACUGACGUCAGACUUCUACCAAUAACUGAUCGUGGGCGAUCGAUCGGAUGUGGAAUGAGUAUGUUUGCGGGAAUAUAGAGUUGCACAUAAUAUUUACGAGUUACGGGGCUACGGGGUCUACCAGAUACCAGGCACUAGAUUGGAUCAGAGCUGAAAGCUGAGCUAAUAGGAGAGCUGGAGUUCAGCGGCGCCUUGUUCUAUUCGAAAACCCUUUGCUUACGCAAUCGAGUGGAAGAUGGAGGAGGAGGAAGCUGGUGCGUCAUCCAGUUCAUCAAUUUGCUUGCCGCAUGAACGAUGGAAACACUUGACGAAAAUUGGUUCUGUUUCUUGAUUAGAUAGUCGUGAUAUUUAUUAAUAACAUUAGCCCUCUCUCCUGACAAAUAUAUAUCACUUCUCACCUCAAACGACCAAGAAUCGGCGUUGGACAAUCAGCUGGCAACUGGCGAAAAGUUAUGCAAUUUCCAGAAGCAGAAUCGAAGAUUGUUUGUUUGUUCAGCGGCACGGGGAAAACCUUUCAAUAAACACCUCAAGGUGAAGGCCCAGGCUUCCCUGGAAAAAUGCUCUCA